rnacentral:rRNA from 1 species
UACGGGGGAUGCAAGCGUUAUCCGGAAUCAUUGGGCGUAAAGCGCCUGUAGGUUGUUUAAUAAGUCUGUUGUUAAAGACUAGGGCUUAACCCUAGGAAAGCAAUGGAAACUACUAGACUAGAGUAUGGUAGGGGUAGAGGGAAUUUCUAGUGUAGCGGUGAAAUGCGUAGAUAUUAGAAAGAACACCGGUGGCGAAGGCGCUCUACUGGACCAUUACUGACACUCAGAGGCGAAAGCUAGGGUAGCAAAAGGGAUUAGAUACCCCUGUAGUCCUAGCCGUAAACGAUGGAUACUAGAUGUUGCGUUUUUAUGCAGUAUCCUAGCUAACGCGUUAAGUAUCCCGCCUGGGGAGUACGCUCGCAAGGGUG